rnacentral:rRNA from 1 species
AACGGGGGAUUCAAGCGCUAUCCGGAAUCACUGGGCGUAAAGCGUCUGUAGGUGGUGAUGCAAGUCACUGGUGCAAAACUCUGGCUCAACCGGAGGAAAGCCAGUGAAACUGCAUGACUAGAGUGUGGGAGAGGUAGAAGGAAUUCCCUGAGUAGCGGUGAAAUGCGUAGAUACAGGGAAGAACACCGGAGGCGAAAGCGUUCUACUGGAACACAACUGACACUGAGAGACGAAAGCUAGGGGAGCGAAUGGG